CCCGAUUAGAGACGCGACGGCACGGGUCGUGCAAAGAUUCGAGUGACUGCGUAAGGGCCGGCUACAUACAUGCCUGUGCGAUGACUACAGUAUAGCGGAGAUGCAGAAGCCACCAGAACGUCGUCUGGCACUAUACUUUCAGUGUUCAAGCCUCACUACGUCAUAAAACAGGACCAGCGAGCCGCAAAUGGCAUCUUCAAUCAGGAACGGUCCGUGGGAAAGUUACUCGUCACAUUUUGGUGGUAGACGGUUUGCACGUGACAAUACAUAGUUGACUAUGAGUCACCAGUACGCGGGAGUGUGUGUUGUGUGCGUUAUGAGCAGAUACUGUGCUUUCUGCUGUUACGGCAGGAGAGUCGCCCAGGUCGUGCUCUGUUCUAUGUAGUGGCUCACUGAAAGUGGAUCCCCUUUGUGGAUUCGAAGAGCGUUGUAUCCCACCGACUUACGCAGCAAGACAACUACCAACAGAAAAAGUGUGAUUUUGUGCAUGAAAGUAAACUUAUGCAGGAAAACCACUCGUUUCGAUGAUUAUCCUCUCAGCCAGCACACUGAGGCAGAUAGAUACUCCUCCACUGCCCCUUCAACAAAUGAUUUCGGCGACAAAUAUAUUGGAUUUUCGAACACUCGC
rnacentral:lncRNA from 1 species